rnacentral:rRNA from 1 species
GGUGCUUGCAUCAUGAUUUACAUUUGAGUGAGUGGCGAACUGGUGAGUAACACGUGGGAAACCUGCCCAGAAGCGGGGGAUAACACCUGGAAACAGAUGCUAAUACCGCAUAACAACUUGGACCGCAUGGUCCGAGUUUGAAAGAUGGCUUCGGCUAUCACUUUUGGAUGGUCCCGCGGCGUAUUAGCUAGAUGGUGAGGUAACGGCUCACCAUGGCAAUGAUACGUAGCCGACCUGAGAGGGUAAUCGGCCACAUUGGGACUGAGACACGGCCCAAACUCCUACGGGAGGCAGCAGUAGGGAAUCUUCCACAAUGGACGAAAGUCUGAUGGAGCAACGCCGCGUGAGUGAAGAAGGGUUUCGGCUCGUAAAACUCUGUUGUUAAAGAAGAACAUAUCUGAGAGUAACUGUUCAGGUAUUGACGGUAUUUAACCAGAAAGCCACGGCUAACUACGUGCCAGCAGCCGCGGUAAUACGUAGGUGGCAAGCGUUGUCCGGAUUUAUUGGGCGUAAAGCGAGCGCAGGCGGUUUUUUAAGUCUGAUGUGAAAGCCUUCGGCUCAACCGAAGAAGUGCAUCGGAAACUGGGAAACUUGAGUGCAGAAGAGGACAGUGGAACUCCAUGUGUAGCGGUGAAAUGCGUAGAUAUAUGGAAGAACACCAGUGGCGAAGGCGGCUGUCUGGUCUGUAACUGACGCUGAGGCUCGAAAGUAUGGGUAGCAAACAGGAUUAGAUACCCUGGUAGUCCAUACCGUAAACGAUGAAUGCUAAGUGUUGGAGGGUUUCCGCCCUUCAGUGCUGCAGCUAACGCAUUAAGCAUUCCGCCUGGGGAGUACGGCCGCAAGGCUGAAACUCAAAGGAAUUGACGGGGGCCCGCACAAGCGGUGGAGCAUGUGGUUUAAUUCGAAGCUACGCGAAGAACCUUACCAGGUCUUGACAUACUAUGCAAAUCUAAAAGAUUAGACGUUCCCUUCGGGGACAUGGAUACAGGUGGUGCAU